rnacentral:rRNA from 1 species
UGAGGAAUAUUGCGCAAUGGACGGAAGUCUGACGCAGCAAUGCCGCGUGCGGGAAGAAGGCGCUAUGCGUCGUAAACCGCUGUAGCACGGGAAGAAGAGGCCCUUAGAGGGUUUAGACUGUACCGUGAAAGUAAGCAUCGGCUAACUACGUGCCAGCAGCCGCGGUAAUACGUAGGAUGCAAGCGUUGUCCGGAUUUACUGGGUGUAAAGGGUGCGCAGGCGGGCCUGUAAGUCAGAGGUGAAAGCCGACAGCUUAACUGUCGAAAUGCCUUUGAUACUGCGGGUCUUGAGUUCGAGAGAGGCGGAUGGAAUGUGUGGUGUAGCGGUGAAAUGCGUAGAUAUCACACAGAACACCAGUGGCGAAGGCGGUCCGCUGGCUCGAUACUGACGCUCAGGCACGAA